GACGAACGCUGGCGGCGUGCUUAACACAUGCAAGUCGAACGCUGAAGCUCAGCUUUUGUUGGGUGGAUGAGUGGCGAACGGGUGAGUAACACGUGAGUAACCUGCCUCCUUCUUUGGGAUAACGCCCGGAAACGGGUGCUAAUACUGGAUAUUCACUGGUCUUCGCAUGGGGGUUGGUGGAAAGGGUUUUUCUGGUGGGGGAUGGGCUCGCGGCCUAUCAGCUUGUUGGUGGGGUGAUGGCCUACCAAGGCUUUGACGGGUAGCCGGCCUGAGAGGGUGACCGGUCACAUUGGGACUGAGAUACGGCCCAGACUCCGACGGGAGGCAGCAGUGGGGAAUAUUGCACAAUGGGCGCAAGCCUGAUGCAGCGACGCCGAGUGAGGGAUGGAGGCCUUCGGGUUGUGAACCUCUUUCGCUCAUGGUCAAGCCGCAACAAUGGUUGUGGUGAGGGUAGUGGGUAAAGAAGCGCCGGCUAACUACGUG
rnacentral:rRNA from 1 species